rnacentral:rRNA from 1 species
UGGGGAAUAUUGGACAAUGGGGGCAACCCUGAUCCAGCCAUGCCGCGUGAGUGAUGAAGGCCUUCGGGUUGUAAAGCUCUUUUGGCGGGGACGAUGAUGACGGUACCCGCAGAAUAAGCCCCGGCUAACUUCGUGCCAGCAGCCGCGGUAAGACGAAGGGGGCUAGCGUUGUUCGGAAUUACUGGGCGUAAAGCGAGUGUAGGCGGUUGCCGUAGUCAGGUGUGAAAGCCUUGAGCUCAACUCAAGAAAUGCACUUGAUACUGGGCGACUAGAGGACCGGAGAGGAUAGUGGAAUUCCCAGUGUAGUGGUGAAAUACGUAGAGAUUGGGAAGAACACCAGUGGCGAAGGCGGCUAUCUGGACGGUUACUGACGCUAAGACUCGAAAGCGUGGGGAGCAAAACAGGAUUAGAUACCCUGGUAGUCCACGCCGUAAACGAUGGGUGCUAGACGUUGGCGAGCUUGCUCGUCAGUGUCGCAGCUAACGCGUUAAGCACCCCGCCUGGGGAGUACGGCCGC